AAUCCGGUUGAUCCUGCCGGAGGCUACCGCUAUUGGAGUUCGAUUAAGCCAUGCGAGUCUAGAGGCUUCGGCCUCGGCGUACCGCUCAGUAACACGUGGGUAACCUGCCCUAUGGAGGGGAAUAACCUCGGGAAACUGAGAAUAAUGCCCCAUAGCCCACUACGCCUGGAACGGUGAGUGGGUCAAAGCUCCGGCGCCAUAGGAUGGGCCUGCGCCGUAUCAGGUUGUAGGGGGUGUAAAGUACCCUCUAGCCAUCAACGCGUACGGGUGUUGGGAGACAUUGCCCGGAGAUGGAUUCUGAGACACGAAUCCAGACCCUACGGGGUGCAGCAGGCGCGAAAACUUGGCAAUGCGAGCAAUCGUGACCAGGGAACUCCAAGUGCGUAGGG
rnacentral:rRNA from 1 species